UACGGAGGGUGCGAGCGUUGUCCGGAAUCAUUGGGCGUAAAGGGCGCGUAGGUGGCCCGGUCAGUCUUUGGUGAAAGCGCGGGGCUCAACCCUGCGUCGGCCAGGGAUACUGCCGCGGCUCGAGCACUGUAGAGGCAGGCGGAAUUCCGGGUGUAGCGGUGGAAUGCGUAGAGAUCCGGAAGAACACCGGUGGCGAAGGCGGCCUGCUGGGCAGUUUGGCUGACAAUGAGGCGCGACAGCGUGGGGAGCAAACAGG
rnacentral:rRNA from 1 species